AAAUAUAUUAGAAUUAUAUAUGGUAUAUAAAUAUACACACACACACACACACACACACACACACACACACACACACACACACACACGUAUAUAUACAUUAUUAUUAAUGAUUAUAAUAAUUUCAUCCCCAGUUAGUUCACAGCAAAUGAGGUCAAGCUUGUUUUUUUAUUCUAAGAGAUUAAUGGUUGUCAAGGACUUAAAAUAAACUGACUAGCAUCAUUAGUAUAUCCUACUGACUCAUUAUGUUAUGUGGUGGGAAAUCUAUGAGUUAAAGUAAGUACAGUAUAUCUUACACUGCUCACUGCUUGAGCUCCUCACCAAAUACCUGUUCUUUCAGCUCAGUGGUGGCGUGAUGUUCUAGACACGCCCCCUCAUUGUUGCUGCUUUCUCAUUGGUCAAAGAAGACAAUGUGUGUCGCAGCCGUGCAGGUGAUGGUGCGUGAGGUGUGAAGCCGAACCCCUUCCUCCCCCGUCCCGCGUGGCUCUGUGCACGUAACACCUGCCUGCCGCUUCACAGCGGUACAAGAUGUUCUCUCAACAAGAUGUUCUGCAAAAGAGGAACAACCACUUUCACUUUCUGUUGCUGCUGAAAAAAAGUGAUAGAUGUUUGGAAUAACAUGAGGAGCCAUUUUCAAGAAAACAUAAACAUCUCCAGAAGGUUGUUGCAUCAGAUCGCAGGACAAAUGUGCAGUUAAAGGACAACAACGGGGUUGAGAAUUACAUCUGUGCUACUGUCUGACGCACACAGAGGUACAUAAAAUCAGAGAUUGCCAAAGAAGAUUAUCACCCACUCUGACAUCCAAUCCACAACCACCAGCUACCCUCACGGCCUCAUGGUUCAAUGCUUAACACUCUUGAUUGCACCAAAUCAAGUAGCAGGUAGCAGCCCUCAAUCAUCAGUAUAAAAUAACAGUGUGAUGUGUCUUUAAUUGGAACUUUCCCUACACAAUGUUGUGAUGAUUGUUGAGCUCAGACAAAACCACAUUAAACGCAACUUGGUGC
ensembl:lncRNA